AGUAACGCGUGAGGAACCUGCCUCAAAGAGGGGGACAACAGUUGGAAACGACUGCUAAUACCGCAUAAGCCCACGGCUCGGCAUCGAGCAGAGGGAAAAGGAGUGAUCCGCUUUGAGAUGGCCUCGCGUCCGACUAGCUAGUUGGUGAGGUAAUGGCCCACCAAGGCGACGAUCGGUAGCCGGACUGAGAGGUUGAACGGCCACAUUGGGACUGAGACACGGCCCAG
rnacentral:rRNA from 1 species